AUGUCGUACAACAUGAUGUUUUUGAUAUAUAUAUAUAUACACUUUAGUUUUUAAAUGUGUGAAUAAGGUUCUUCAUAACUCCAUCAUAACAAUGUUUGUAUUUCUUACAAUUAUAAUGUUUAAAUUCAUAUUCCUACGGGAUUAUAAACUUCUUUAGGCCAGGCACUAGAUAAAUUCUGUAUAUGCCUUAGAACUUAGCACAUGGUAGUCACUCAUGUACAAAUUAUUGAGUGUGCAAAUGUAUGAAUGAAUGAAUGAAUGUCCACUUAAAGAAAACAAUAUGAAGCUCUUUUUUUAAUCUUCAGCUCAUAAGUUGUUUUGGUACACUUUUGUCCUUCUCUUAUUUACUACUUCUUAUUACAAUGCAGAAGUUAAAGCAUGUAAUUUAGGAGAACUUUGCUGCAUUUAAAGGAUAAUUCAAACUCAUUUUAGAAAAUCAUUUUAUUACAUUAUGUAAUAUUUUAUAUUUUUAAUAACUUGAUAUCCGAAAACCAAAUUUCGCUGCAACAUGUUCAGAAAGUUUUCUUCCUUUUUGGAAAUUGAACCUUUCUAACCAAGUAACAGUUGCUAAGGGAUUUGGAAUAGAGAUUAGCAUAGAUUUGGGUGGCACAAGUGAUCCUUUGUGCACGGUUAACAGUCUAUUUUUCAUUUAUAAAAUUAAUAUCCGUGUCUGUGAUUCCCACUAAUACUAGUUUGAAAAUAAGCUAAAGAUAAUCCUCUUCUCUUUAAUUUCCAUGGGGCCAGCACCACUUGAUCUGAUUAUGUAAUGUCAAAAAACUCAAGUUUUACUGGCAGAGUGCAUAUCGUGCCUCUGUUCUAGUGCUAACAAGAGCCUUCAGCAAUUAAUUAAACUUCUAUCUCUUCAAGGAGAUUCACAACAUACACUCAGGGACAGGCAGUCCAAGAAAUCUGAAUGUAGAAACAUUUUAAUUUUGUUGCCUCUGAAGUUUGGAAAUUAUUCAGAUUUAUUUCUUUCACAAAAAAAGUCCAUCAUUUUGUCUUACUGGUCCAUGUGCUUCCCACCAAUCUUCCUCACUUUAGAUCCUUAUCCUCUUUUCCAAGGGUAGCAUUUCCACUACCCCCAUUUUCACUGGCUACGUACCUAUUGAACCAAGGCUCAGGCUCAGAUCUAGCAGUAGGGAGAGUUACCCAGCUGUGGCCACUCCAGGUCUCACAGACAAGGAAGCCAGGUGUGGGCAAAGUCAUGUGGACAGCCAUCAGUCCUCUGCAGGACCUCAUUCCUAGGACUCAGUGAGUACCUCCAAGUGUUUUGGGGAUUUCCAGGCUCAUCAUGAAUCUCCAAAUAACUCCAUUUAACCAACAAGAUUUUUAUCUCUAGAUAUGCUCCUCAAAGGCAGUUUUAUCAUAGCCACAAAAGACAAUAAUGUGAGCCAUGGAACUUCCUCAGGUCCACCAAGAGAUGACAGAGCUGUUCCAAGAUGCAGAGUGAGAACUAAGAACCAGCAAAACAAACAUACCAAAAACACUACUCAAAAAUGAAUCGUUAGUUAGACGGUUGCUAAUAUUUCACUUGAAUACAUAACUGUGUGAGAGAAACAACCUUAAAUAUUAAAAUACUAGAUCUUUGCAAACUUUGUGAUUAAUUAAUUCAGCAAUAUUUAUGGAACAUCUGCUAUACAGUUGGCAUCCUACUAGUUCUUGGGAAGAGUACAAAAAUCAUGUCUCUGUGGAGUUUAUAAUCCACUGAGAAUGGUACAAUAUAUCCUAUAAUUAUAUUUAAAAACAUAAUCCUAAUUACUUUGAAUUCUACCACUUAUCCUCGUGUCAAAAGAGCAAUUGUGCACAUAUGCUUCUAUAUUCUUCACAGCUCCUCGAUUUCUAACUGUCUUCCAGGGGGAAAAACAUGUUAAUUUCUCUUAAAAGAAACCAUAAGCCACUGGAGUACAAUGACACACAGUAAUACAGGAGAUCAACUUGAAGGAGAACCGCUUAAGUUGUGUAGGGUAAGGAGUAAGCCAGCGAUUCUCGAACUUGGCUGAGGGCUGGCUACCUAAUUUGUGGGGCCAGUGCAAAAUAAAAUGUAGGGCCCCUUGUUCAAACACAGGGAAAAAAAAGUGUAAUUAAAGUGUGAAAUUUUCUUUUCUUUCUUCCACAUUCUCUCUCUUGACUAGUAAUGGUGUUUUUUAUUUUCUAUUGUCAUGUGGCACCUUGGCAUUCUGAGUACUUUGAUCUGAAGGACAUUGGAAAGGCCUCACAGCCAAGGUCUCUUUGAGCUUUGCCUACCCUCCUGUCUCCUGACCCUCUUUCCCCUCUAAAGGGAGCCAUAGAAACCGGAAUUCCUCUUCCCCAGGGUGAUCCAUGGAAACUGGAAUUCCUCUCACCCAAAGCAUGCCAUAAAACCUAAAAAGGUCACCUCCUCCCUUCUCCCUUGAAUACCCUCAUUCCAGAGCGAUCUUGUCCUAUACCCAGGUAGAAGGUGUAGAAGCAGAACAGUAGUGAUCUCCUUCCUCCCUAUCAUAAAGGUCAUGGCCCAACCUUCUAUAACAAAGAUUAAUGAGGAAAACAUAACAAAUUUAUUUGAUCAUUGUUUUAUGAAACACAGGAGCCUUCAAAGUGAAGACCCAAAGAUACAGGGAAAACUAUCCAUUUUUAUGCUUAGGUUCAACAAAGAAUGGACAGCCAUGUAGAAAUGUGACUGGACAAAAAGGUUAUGAUCUGUAUGCCAGUAGACUGCGUGGGGAAACCACUGAGGCCUGUCCUUAUUCCUGUUGACUUUGGGCAGCAUUUCUUCCUCCCGGUUAUAGGGUAGGAUACCUCUGGAAUGAGGGUCUUAAUUUCUUUAUGACCAGUUGUUACACAGAAAAGCAUGGGUAGGGAAGGGGUAGAGUAACAUUUUUCAACUUUAUGGCUGGCUUUGGAAAAAAAGGGUUCCAUUUUCUAUGGCCUGCCUUAGGGGAAAAUGGAGCCAAGAGACAGGAGGGCAAGAGAAGGUUUUCAUUCUGAAGGCUCCCAUGAGUACAUGUUAAAUAAAUUUACAUACCUUUUCUCCUGUUAAUAUGCCUUUAGUGAGUUAUUUUUCAGUAAACUUCAGCAGGUGUUUCUGAGUGGCAAAAACUAUAUGAAUUACAACCCUGGCUGCAAUCAGUGGAAAAGCUCAGAUACUAUUUUUCCUAGCUUGCAUACAUAUUUUAUGUCUUUUGCCAGAUGAAAAGAUUGGCAAUACAGUAAAAGAAGCACCACAGUGGUUCACUAUUUCUAUUUUCCUGGUUUUCCUGAUGAACCACCUUCUGGCAAUUUCAGGACUCUCAAGGCUGCUGCUCUCAAAGGCGGAUUUGCCAUGGGGGUGGGUCCCCCUCCUCCAGCGCUUUCCUCUUGCCUUCACUACAUGAGCUGCUACUCAGGGCCCUCACUUGGCCACAACAGCCUGAAUUGGAGGUUAUAAAUUCAAAAAAGCAAGAAAAACUUUCCACUUUCUCUGCAUCUUUAGGAUAAAAACACCAUAACAGAGCAAUGCUGUGGUCCCCAGCCUAGCUGCUCCAGGGUCUAGUUGGUUCCUAAAGAAACUGAUUUUAAGUUUUUCUUUGAUAUAUACUUUAAGGCAAUAAUUAGGAGCUCUCUGGGGUUGAAUUUUCUCGUGUUUUAAACCCAAUAGAAACACAGACUGACCUGUAGCAUUUGUGAAUAUGCUAGUAUAAUUAAUUCCCCAAAUCGAGUCUCUGCCUUUCUCCAGGAGUCCUGUGAGGUUUACAGAUUAAUUCAGUUGCAGACUUAGGAUCCUUACUGUGAUCCUCUUCAGGGAAAUAAAAAAGGCAGGAGCCUUUUGGCUUAGACUGCCAGAGUAAGAACAAUAGGCCUUAACGAAGUUCUUUUUCUUUGCCCCCUUUUUGAAUGAUGACUUUUUACUUCAAUGCAGGAAGGUUUCAUGAAGGAUAAGGAAAAAGAUCCCCUGUUCUGUUUGUGUACAAGUGCGUAUUUAAUGACUGUGGGUCAAAAUAUAUCACAAAAGCAUGGUCUUUGACAAAAGGGCUGGAUUUUAAUCUAAAGAGGAUGGUUAAGAGAUUUAGAGAGAGGUGAUCUAACUGUAUUGUUCCCCUCAGUUAUAGGGUUGUUUUUUUUUUUUAAUCCACUGCCUCUUCUCAAGAGGUUGCACCCACUGUCUUCCAAGGCUGACGGUGGGAACUAUUCCCCGUGCUUUUGGCAUGGGAAAAGGGUGGUUUGUUUUCCUUCCUCCCCACCCCAUUUCUUUUCUUUUUUGAUAAAAGAGUGCAAAUAAUGAGUGAAGUUACAAUUAUACGGAGGUUGCUGAACUGACAUUAACUGACGUUUUUCUGAUUGCAGGAUGUCUGUGGGUUCCCAGCAAUUUCAAUUUCAGUGACUCACUGAUAUUCCCUGCAUUACAAUACCUACAUCUACCAGACCCAAACAGAGAACUCCUUAUGCUGGUUUAUGGUUUUCAUACUUGUAAAUGUAUUAAUUGUUUUUCAUUCAUGAGCAUCUCUAGCUAGAAACAAAUGUUUCACAUAGACUUUGAAGAAGUUAAACAUUAAAUUUAAAUGCUCUAACACUAACUGACCAAAAUCAGUAAUAGACUUAAUUUUAGACUAUUUCAUUCCUGGACAGUCUUCUAAACAUAGUUAUUUUGUUCCCCAAUGUUUUUUGGUUCGUAAGCAACUACAUUUUAUUUUCUUAUUUACAACUACAUUUGCAAAUGCUAAAAUUUAUGGUCAGAAAAUGAGUGUCUGAUUCUUUUCAACUUGACAUAAAUCAUUUGUAGAUAUUCAAUAGAAAGCAUUCACAUAAAAAAUAAAAUCUCUAUUGUUUUUCUUUUUACUUGUAUGACUUAAACCGUGAAGUGGCUAAACUGGAAUUUCAUAAGUCUAACUUAAGCCUCUUAUGUUUGGUACAACUUUCAAAUUUUUGUUGAUUAAACUGAAGGGGGGAAAAGGAAGAUACUGAUUUUAGAAACUAGCAAUGUGCCACAUGGGAAAAGACGUUCAGUUGCCAACAGGACAAAGGCCCAGCCGCCUUCCAGCAUGAGCUCCCCACCCUCCUCUACAGAGCCUCUGGGAUGUGCCUAUCUGCCCCACUCCCUUUCCCCAAGACACAUUCUGCCUUUCCCCCCUGCAUGCUUUUGCUUCUUUCAAAGAACAGAAACAUAAUAUUUUGCCAAGACUUUGCGUGCACCUUAUCUAUAUGAGUUACAUUGUAAAUAGCAUUCUAUUCAACUUUCAAACCAUCCCCAUGAGGUAGAAAUCUCUAUUUUACAAAUUAAAAAAAAAAAAAAACAGGCACAGAAAGAUUUGUCUACUUGCCCAAAGUCACAGAGCAAAUAAGUGACAGAAUAACUUUUUUAAAGCAAUAAAGCAUUGUCAUUUUUGUAUAUAUACUAUAUGGUAAGAGUGCGAAGAGGGUGGUCCAUUCUACCUGGUGGGAAAGAAAGGGAGAGAGGUGUCAGUAAAGCCUUCAUGAAAAAGGUAAUAGGAGUUGAGCCCUGUAAGAUGAGGAGGAACCCAGUUUUCUGAUUCUAAAGCCAAAGUUGUUUGUACUACUCACUUUCCUCAUCUCUUCAUUCUCUUGGCCUAUACAAAUUCUACCUGUACUUCAGCACCAAGCUCAGAUUCCACUUCCUUCAUGAAAACUUGCUGACCACCUCUGUCCUUUGAACUUCCAGAGCAAUUAUUUAUUAGGCAAUUUAAUUGAUGAAUAAUGUCACUUUGUGAGAUCCCUUUAUCAAUGAAACAUGUUAUAAAU
rnacentral:lncRNA from 1 species